CUGGAAAUCCUGUCUCAGACAGAUUGGGGGAGGUAACAAAAACAAUAAUAAAGUACUGAAUGUUGAUGGUGUUAAAGUGAAGCUACAGAUAUGGGACACAGCAGGGCAGGAGCGAUUUCGCAGCGUUACCCAUGCCUACUACCGAGAUGCUCAUGCACUGUUACUACUCUAUGAUGUUACAAACAAGACAUCCUUUGACAACAUUCAGG